rnacentral:rRNA from 1 species
ACUCAAAGGAAUUGACGGGGACCCGCACAAGCGGUGGAGCGUGUUGUUUAAUUCGACGGUAAGCGAAGAACCUUACCAGGGUUUGACAUCCUGCCAAGGCCUCUGAAAGGAGGCUGUGCCUUCGGGCCGCAGUGACAGGUGCUGCAUGGCCGUCGUCAGCUCGUGUCGUGAGAUGUUAGGUUAAGUCCUUCAACGAGCGCAACCCUUAUAGUCAGUUGAAUUUUUCUGGCUAGACUGCCCCGGUAACGGGGAGGAAGGAGGGGAUGAUGUCAGGUCAUUAUUGCCCUUACACCCUGGGCUACAAACACGCUACAAUGGCUGGUACAAAGGGCCGCAAACCCGCGAGGGGGAGCAAAUCCCAUCAAAGCCAGUCUCAGUUCGGAUUGUAGGCUGAAACUCGCCUGCAUGAAGCUGGAAUCGCUAGUAACGGUAGGUCAGCACACUACCGUGAAUACGUUCCCGGGUCUUGCACACACCGCCCGU